rnacentral:rRNA from 1 species
CUACGGGUUGCAGCAGUAAGGAAUAUUGCGCAAUGGAGGCAACUCUGACGCAGCCAUGCCGCGUGCAGGAAGAAGGCCUUAUGGGUCGUAAACUGCUUUUAUUUAGGAAUAAACCCUCGCUCGUGAGCGAGGCUGAAGGUACUGAAUGAAUAAGCACCGGCUAACUCCGUGCCAGCAGCCGCGGUAAUACGGAGGGUGCAAGCGUUAUCCGGAUUUAUUGGGUUUAAAGGGUGCGCAGGCGGGCUAUUAAGUCAGUGGUGAAAUCCCGGGGCUCAACUCCGGAACUGCCAUUGAUACUGAUAGUCUUGAGUUUGGUUGAAGUGGGCGGAAUGUAGCAUGUAGCGGUGAUAUGCAUAGAUAUGCUACAGAACACCAAUCGCGAAGGCAGCUCACUAAGCCAAAACUGACGCUCAUGCACGAAAGCGUGGGGAUCAAACAGGAUUAGAUACCCUAGUAGUC